rnacentral:lncRNA from 1 species
GUGUAAUAGUUUAUUUUGCACUCUAAUGUAAUAUCUUGAAAGGACUUUACUUUUUGUAUUUAAUACUUAGCAUUGUCAAUUUAUGGUCUCUAAUGUAAGUUUUAAAAUUUAGUUUGCUUGUAAGGGAUUUUUAAAUUUAUGCUUCAAUGUUAAACUUAUUUUUAGCACUCAUAACUACUUGGUAGUUGGCUCCCUUCUACUAAUUAGGUAUGUAGGAUG